AAAGCCCUUACAUGAAGUAGUGCACAUGGCCACUUUUGUGUUCAAGAGCAGAGAUGAGGAAAAGGCAAAAGAAAAGCGUAAACAGAAGAAGGAAGAGUUGCAGGUAAAGGUUCCUGGAUUCAUCAAAGCUACGUUAAGUUGGCGCUGGGACCCCCACAUGACCCUGACAAGCCAUCGGACGAGCCACUUCACGAAUGAACGCCACUACCAACCCAUGGACUGAGCUUUCCAGCCAUUGGGACCUUUACAGCCCACCAGGACUUCUUGUGUUCCUGUUUAUUGGACUUACAUUAGGGGUGGUGU